AUUCCUGAUGUGUAUUGUUCACCAAUACACUCUGGCAGCAAGCGAAGGUGUCGUUGGCACCCGUGACAUGAUCCCCCCGGUUGUGUCACGAUUUUUUUUA
rnacentral:ncRNA from 1 species